GAUGAAGAACGCAGCGAAAUGCGAUACGUAAUGUGAAUUGCAGAAUUCAGUGAAUCAUCGAAUCUUUGAACGCAUAUUGCGCUCUCUGGUAUUCCGGAGAGCAUGCUUGUUUGAGUAUCAGUAAACACCUCAACUUCCAUAUCUUUUUUGAAAUGGGAGUUGGACUUGAGUGAUCCCAACGCUUUUCCUCACCGUAAAGUGGCGGGUUACUUGAAAUGCAGGUGCAGCUGGACUUUUCUCUGAGCUAUAAGCAUAUCUAUUUAGUCUGCCUAAAAAACAGAUUAUUACCUUUGCUGCAGCUAACAUAAAGGAGAUUAGUUCUUGUGCUGACUGAUGCAGGAUUCACAAAGACAGGCUUCGGCCGACUUUGUAAACUCGAUCUCAAAUCAAGUAAGACUACCCGCUGAACUUAAGCAUAUCAAUAAGCGGAGGA
rnacentral:misc_RNA from 1 species